UACGAAGGGGGCCAGCGUUGUUCGGAAUUACUGGGCGUAAAGCGCACGUAGGCGGGUAUUUAAGUCAGGGGUGAAAUCCCAGAGCUCAACUCUGGAACUGCCUUUGAUACUGGGUACCUAGAGUAUGGAAGAGGUGAGUGGAAUUCCGAGUGUAGAGGUGAAAUUCGUAGAUAUUCGGAGGAACACCAGUGGCGAAGGCGGCUCACUGGUCCAUUACUGACGCUGAGGUGCGAAAGCGUGGGGAGCAAACAGG
rnacentral:rRNA from 1 species